UACGUAGGGGGCGAGCGUUGUCCGGAGUUACUGGGCGUAAAGGGUGCGUAGGCGGGCAGGUAAGUCAGUGGUGAAAUCUCCGGGCUUAACCCGGAAACUGCCGUUGAUACUAUCUGUCUUGAAUAUCGUGGAGGUAAGCGGAAUAUGUCAUGUAGCGGUGAAAUGCUUAGAUAUGACAUAGAACACCCAUUGCGAAGGCAGCUUACUACACGAUCAUUGACGCUGAGGCACGAAAGCGUGGGGAGCAAACAGG
rnacentral:rRNA from 1 species